rnacentral:rRNA from 1 species
UGGGGAAUAUUGCACAAUGGGCGCAAGCCUGAUGCAGCCAUGCCGCGUGUGUGAAGAAGGCCUUCGGGUUGUAAAGCACUUUCAGCGGGGAGGAAGGCGUUAAGGUUAAUAACCUUGGCGAUUGACGUUACCCGCAGAAGAAGCACCGGCUAACUCCGUGCCAGCAGCCGCGGUAAUACGGAGGGUGCAAGCGUUAAUCGGAAUUACUGGGCGUAAAGCGCACGCAGGCGGUCUGUCAAGUCGGAUGUGAAAUCCCCGGGCUCAACCUGGGAACUGCAUUCGAAACUGGCAGGCUAGAGUCUUGUAGAGGGGGGUAGAAUUCCAGGUGUAGCGGUGAAAUGCGUAGAGAUCUGGAGGAAUACCGGUGGCGAAGGCGGCCCCCUGGACAAAGACUGACGCUCAGGUGCGAAAGCGGGGGGAGCAAACAGG